rnacentral:rRNA from 1 species
GGUUAAGCGACUAAGCGUACACGGUGGAUGCCCUGGCAGUCAGAGGCGAUGAAGGACGUGCUAAUCUGCGAUAAGCGUCGGUAAGGUGAUAUGAACCGUUAUAACCGGCGAUUUCCGAAUGGGGAAACCCAGUGUGUUUCGACACACUAUCAUUAACUGAAUCCAUAGGUUAAUGAGGCGAACCGGGGGAACUGAAACAUCUAAGUACCCCGAGGAAAAGAAAUCAACCGAGAUUCCCCCAGUAGCGGCGAGCGAACGGGGAGGAGCCCAGAGCCUGAAUCAGUGUGUGUGUUAGUGGAAGCGUCUGGAAAGGCGCGCGAUACAGGGUGACAGCCCCGUACACAAAAAUGCACAUACUGUGAGCUCGAUGAGUAGGGCGGGACACGUGGUAUCCUGUCUGAAUAUGGGGGGACCAUCCUCCAAGGCUAAAUACUCCUGACUGACCGAUAGUGAACCAGUACCGUGAGGGAAAGGCGAAAAGAACCCCGGCGAGGGGAGUGAAAAAGAACCUGAAACCGUGUACGUACAAGCAGUGGGAGCCUCUUUUAUGGGGUGACUGCGUACCUUUUGUAUAAUGGGUCAGCGACUUAUAUUCUGUAGCAAGGUUAACCGAAUAGGGGAGCCGAAGGGAAACCGAGUCUUAACUGGGCGUUAAGUUGCAGGGUAUAGACCCGAAACCCGGUGAUCUAGCCAUGGGCAGGUUGAAGGUUGGGUAACACUAACUGGAGGACCGAACCGACUAAUGUUGAAAAAUUAGCGGAUGACUUGUGGCUGGGGGUGAAAGGCCAAUCAAACCGGGAGAUAGCUGGUUCUCCCCGAAAGCUAUUUAGGUAGCGCCUCGUGAAUUCAUCUCCGGGGGUAGAGCACUGUUUCGGCAAGGGGGUCAUCCCGACUUACCAACCCGAUGCAAACUGCGAAUACCGGAGAAUGUUAUCACGGGAGACACACGGCGGGUGCUAACGUCCGUCGUGAAGAGGGAAACAACCCAGACCGCCAGCUAAGGUCCCAAAGUCAUGGUUAAGUGGGAAACGAUGUGGGAAGGCCCAGACAGCCAGGAUGUUGGCUUAGAAGCAGCCAUCAUUUAAAGAAAGCGUAAUAGCUCACUGGUCGAGUCGGCCUGCGCGGAAGAUGUAACGGGGCUAAACCAUGCACCGAAGCUGCGGCAGCGACACUAUGUGUUGUUGGGUAGGGGAGCGUUCUGUAAGCCUGUGAAGGUGUGCUGUGAGGCAUGCUGGAGGUAUCAGAAGUGCGAAUGCUGACAUAAGUAACGAUAAAGCGGGUGAAAAGCCCGCUCGCCGGAAGACCAAGGGUUCCUGUCCAACGUUAAUCGGGGCAGGGUGAGUCGACCCCUAAGGCGAGGCCGAAAGGCGUAGUCGAUGGGAAACAGGUUAAUAUUCCUGUACUUGGUGUUACUGCGAAGGGGGGACGGAGAAGGCUAUGUUGGCCGGGCGACGGUUGUCCCGGUUUAAGCGUGUAGGCUGGUUUUCCAGGCAAAUCCGGAAAAUCAAGGCUGAGGCGUGAUGACGAGGCACUACGGUGCUGAAGCAACAAAUGCCCUGCUUCCAGGAAAAGCCUCUAAGCAUCAGGUAACAUCAAAUCGUACCCCAAACCGACACAGGUGGUCAGGUAGAGAAUACCAAGGCGCUUGAGAGAACUCGGGUGAAGGAACUAGGCAAAAUGGUGCCGUAACUUCGGGAGAAGGCACGCUGAUAUGUAGGUGAAGCGACUUGCUCGUGGAGCUGAAAUCAGUCGAAGAUACCAGCUGGCUGCAACUGUUUAUUAAAAACACAGCACUGUGCAAACACGAAAGUGGACGUAUACGGUGUGACGCCUGCCCGGUGCCGGAAGGUUAAUUGAUGGGGUUAGCGGUAACGCGAAGCUCUUGAUCGAAGCCCCGGUAAACGGCGGCCGUAACUAUAACGGUCCUAAGGUAGCGAAAUUCCUUGUCGGGUAAGUUCCGACCUGCACGAAUGGCGUAAUGAUGGCCAGGCUGUCUCCACCCGAGACUCAGUGAAAUUGAACUCGCUGUGAAGAUGCAGUGUACCCGCGGCAAGACGGAAAGACCCCGUGAACCUUUACUAUAGCUUGACACUGAACAUUGAGCCUUGAUGUGUAGGAUAGGUGGGAGGCUUUGAAGUGUGGACGCCAGUCUGCAUGGAGCCGACCUUGAAAUACCACCCUUUAAUGUUUGAUGUUCUAACGUUGGCCCCUGAUCGGGGUUGCGGACAGUGUCUGGUGGGUAGUUUGACUGGGGCGGUCUCCUCCUAAAGAGUAACGGAGGAGCACGAAGGUUGGCUAAUCCUGGUCGGACAUCAGGAGGUUAGUGCAAUGGCAUAAGCCAGCUUGACUGCGAGCGUGACGGCGCGAGCAGGUGCGAAAGCAGGUCAUAGUGAUCCGGUGGUUCUGAAUGGAAGGGCCAUCGCUCAACGGAUAAAAGGUACUCCGGGGAUAACAGGCUGAUACCGCCCAAGAGUUCAUAUCGACGGCGGUGUUUGGCACCUCGAUGUCGGCUCAUCACAUCCUGGGGCUGAAGUAGGUCCCAAGGGUAUGGCUGUUCGCCAUUUAAAGUGGUACGCGAGCUGGGUUUAGAACGUCGUGAGACAGUUCGGUCCCUAUCUGCCGUGGGCGCUGGAGAACUGAGGGGGGCUGCUCCUAGUACGAGAGGACCGGAGUGGACGCAUCACUGGUGUUCGGGUUGUCAUGCCAAUGGCACUGCCCGGUAGCUAAAUGCGGAAGAGAUAAGUGCUGAAAGCAUCUAAGCACGAAACUUGCCCCGAGAUGAGUUCUCCCUGAGACUUUAAGUCUCCUGAAGGAACGUUGAAGACGACGACGUUGAUAGGCCGGGUGUGUAAGCGCAGCGAUGCGUUGAGCUAACCGGUACUAAUGAACCGUGAGGCUUAACCUU